ensembl:lncRNA novel transcript, antisense to HDAC4
AUCCCUAGGAACGGCUGGGACAAAAUGGAAGCCACAUCAACCUCCCUCACUGGCCAGGACAAGACAGGUGAGACACUGGACAGUGACCGCGCAAGGAUGCCCUGCAGCCCCCGUGAUCACCACAGAAGAUGCCACCUGGGGACCGAGGGUGGCUGUGCGUGCCAGCCUUCUGGUGCCCUCCCCGCCUGCGGUCACCUGUCUGAAGAGCAGCUCCUGCUCACUGGGCUGGCGCUGGCCCGGCUCCACCUCCCGUGGGGGCUCUGCCUCUUCCUCAUCGCUCUCAAUGGGCUCCUGCUUCACCUGCACGCCGGCCUGUGCGUGCGCCUCCUUCUGCCCCGGCAGCCGGUCCAGGUAGGGCUCGUCCAGCAGAGCCUGGUGCUCACGGAGCUCCUCCUCCGUCUCCUCCGGGUGGCUCUCCGGCUGCCGGGCUGGCUCGCUUGGCUUGGGGAUGAUCUGCAAGGCGGAGGUAACACAUGAAGCACAGAGAGCUGGGUCCUCUGAGCUCAUCUGACAGGAGAAGGGAUGCUGCAAACCCCACCCUCUGGGGCAGACAAUCAGGGACUCAGGGCACCUUAUCACCCUGCCACAGGCCAGCAGGCACCUUUAUCUCCCAACAGGCACUGGGGUGCCUGAGUGCCUAAGAAAAUAAUGCCCAGUAGGACCCCAGCCCAGGGUCAAGGUGACCUGGCCCAGGGAAGGAGGCUGACUAACAUUUGGGGUUUACUAAGCACCUCUUCUGUGUCAGGCACCGAGAAACAGAAAAGAAGCUGCAGGUGUCAACAGAGUCUGCAGAGGAGAGCUUGAGUGUGAAGGGGAGAGGCCAAUGCUGACCUCACAGCCACAACUGCUAAGAGAAACAGCCCACCACCCACUCAGCGGAAGACAACCACGUCCACAAUGCUCACUGCCCAAUCCCACCAACACGCCACGGCCUCCCCUCCUGCAGGAUCCCACCGAUGUGCCAUGACCUCCCUCCUGCCGGAUCCUGGGAACACUCCAGGACCUCCCUUCCUGCUGAAUCCCAGGGAUGCCACGGCCUCCCCUUCUGCAGGAUCUCAGGGACACCAUGACCUCCUUUCUUGCAGGAUUCCAUGGGUGCUCCAUGACCUGCCCCGCUAUGGGGCCCCAAGAACCGCAACAUCCUCCCUCCUGUGGGACUCCCUAGAUGCCCCCGACCUCUUUUCCUGUUGGAUCUCACGGACGCUUCUCGGUCUCCCUCCCCGGCCUCUCAGUGCGGAACAGGCGGCAGGUGCUCCUCUCCUGCUCCCCGCCUGCUCCUCCGUCUUGGUUUGUCCUGGGCCUGCUCCUCGGCUCAUUUCCCCAUUCUGGAUUCCAAGUAUCAGCGACUCCCAAAGACUGUGAAAGAACGUCCCACAAUCCCAAAGUCCCAGAUCGAGGGGUCUCUCCGGAUGCUCGAUUCAUCUGUCCCCGUGGGGAACGGCCUGAAGGGCAGAUUCGAGGGACGGUGGGACAAGCCGAGUUCCUGGCAGAGAGAGGAGCUACAGCGCGUGGAGGAUGGAUCUCGGCACCGCAUCCGACUGUUUCCAGAAGGAAACUGAGGUGUGCAAGGAAGACUGACACCUGAAAUCCCCCGAGCCCUUGCAUUUCAACACCCUUAGAGCACUGCAUGCUGCUCCACACUCACGCGAGGCGGCCUCUCCAGCAGCCUGAACUACGGGGCACGGGUUGGUGGGCACUCAGUGUCCGCUUGCUCCCAGGGGUCAGCCGUAUCAGACGACACCGGUCCCCACGCAGCAGGGCUGAGACGCAGACUCACACACACACAACAUGGUGAGUUUUCAGCCUCCAGAGCCCUGCUGUGCCUCACUGUGGAACAUCAGAGACUUCAGAUUGGGCGGGGGGUUUGUUUUAUGAUUGAUCAUCCCUUAACUUUCUUUCUAAGAGCAGUUUAAAGUACGGCAGUAAAAGCCGAGUGAAGAAAACGCAGAUCCAUUGUUUAUCUCUAAACCGAAGGCAGCUUUUCUUCAGAAAAGCUUUCAACCUGGCACAGGGAAAUGGAGCCAGGUCCAGCCGGGUGCAGGCAGCGUGGGUGUCGGGGCGGGCCGGCCAUCGGCAGUGUGGGAACCAGUAGGCGGCGUGGCACGUAAGGAACUCAGCUUCAGAAAGCCAAACUCGCAGGGAGGAGAGUGCAGCGGUGGGUGGCCGCGCGUCGGGAACAGGAACGUGCUGUCCACGGGUGAGCGUGCCGUUGGGAGAGGAAUAAGUUCCGGGACCUGAUGCACAGUUUGGUGGCCCCGAUAUUCACGGACCUUACCACAGACACAAUGAGAGCCCCGUGAGGCCAAGGGGGCAUGGAUGAGGUCCCUUGUGGCGAUCAUUUCACAACGCAUACAAGUAUCAAAUCAUCACGCCGUACGCUGUAAAUACAUGCGACUGUUUCCGGUUAGACUUUCACAAAGCCGGGGAGAAACAAGUUCAACUAAGGAAUCUAGCAACAUUGUCCCCAUUUGCUCUGACAGGUUUCUCAGUGGUUGACCAAAAAAAGCAUGUGUU